CCUACGGGUGGCAGCAGUGGGGAAUAUUGCACAAUGGGGGAAACCCGGAUGCAGCGACGCCGCGGGAGUGAAGAAGGAGUUCGGUACGUAAAGCUCUAGCAGCAGGGAAGAAAAUGACGGUACCUGACGAAGAAGCCCCGGCUAACUACGUGCCAGCAGCCGCGGUAAUACGUAGGGGGCAAGCGUUAACCGGCUUUACUGGGGGUAAAGGGAGCGUAGACGGCAGCGCAAGUCUGAAGUGAAAUCCCAUGGCUUAACCAUGGAACUGCUUUGGAAACUGUGCAGCUGGAGUGCAGGUGAGGUCAGCGUCAUUCCUCGUGUAGCGGUGAACUGCGUAUAUCUUAGGAGGAACCCCAGUGGCGAAGGCGGCUUCCUGUACUGUCACUGACGUUGCGGCUCGAACGCGUGGGGAGCAAACCGGAUUAGAUACCCUAGUAGUC
rnacentral:rRNA from 1 species